AGAGUAUUGGUGUAAUGGUAGCACAGCAGACUUUGACUCUGCCGGUAAUUGUUCAAAUCAGUUAUACUCUGCCA
rnacentral:tRNA from 1 species